GAUUUGGUGUCUGGUGAGGAGUGCUUUCUGGUUCAUAGAUGGCUGACUUCUUGCUGUGUUUUCACAUAGUAGAAGGGGUGAAGGAACUCUCUGGAGUCUUUUUUAUAAAGACAUUAAUCCCUUCCUGAGGGCUCUGCUUUCAUGACUUAACUACCUUCCAGAGAGCCCCACCUCCUAAGACCAUCACCUUGGGGGUUAGCAUUCCAACAAAUGAAUUUGGAGGGACAUGAACAUUCAGAUCGUAGCAGGGAGUAUGAGGCAGACGCAGGGAGGCCUGGCCAGGACUCAGAGGGGAGAUGAUGGUGCUGUGGACCAGAUGGCAGUGAGAAGAGGCUAGGUUCUAGAUGUGUUUUGAAAGCCAGGCCAAUGGGAUUUGCUGCCCGUAGCGAGGCCUCUGGGAAAUGUAUGCGGGCGGGAGAGUGCCAUAAUAGAGGUCCACCAUUUACAUUCCCAUCCAGCGCUCUUUUGCACAUUCACACUCAAGGUAGGAAGAAGAUGACCUUUAGAUUUUUAGGAUUCUUGUCCUCAGCAAGAGUGUCUGAGGACUGCCUUCGGGGCUGUUUCAAGAUGUGUGACCAGUUUGGUUUAAUGGGAGAGUACCCCUUCUGUGGCCAGUCUCCAUGGCUGAGAGUGGAUUGCCCGACUGCCCAUCUUCCUGGUCCUGCUGCUCAGUAUACAUGCGUGGCCCCGUGGCCAUUCAAAGGAAGUGACCUCAUAAGCGUGCCUUUCAAGCCACACAGGAUGGGUCCUUGUGUGACAUUCAGCCGUCUCUCUGGUUUACACCAAAUUCAACAACUUGUGGCCUGCAGAUACUCAGUAUAAAUAGCUGGAAAAGCCUGACCUUGACAACCUCAUUUCUCAUUCCUUUCUUGUUACAGGUCUUAUGACAUGGUUACAAAGAUCUUCUCCACUUUAAGACCAUGAAUGAAAGGAAUAACUUGGCCUACAGCUUAGCAACUGCCACCGUCAUUAACUGCAAGAAUUAGAUGGUGAAACUGAAGUUCUGCUCUGUGGGAUACGGUAUGAGUGGCGCCGUGAACUCAGGGCUGGGUGCCUCCAGGUGAAAAAGAAAGCCUUGUGGGGACUUGCAAGCCUUUUGUGUCCUAAGUUAUUGUCUUCCAAACUGCAGAGGUUGAAUACGGCUUCAGGUUGACCCUUCAGAGUGAAGAGAGAUGCUGUUCCUUUCUUCGUUACCUGCCUAGCACUUCUUCUCUCCCCACUUCCUAUGCAGGGGCCCCAGCCGGGAGCAGGACGAUAGGGGACUUGAUUUUUUUAAGUAAUCUCUAUACCUAAUCUGGGGCUCAGACCUACAACUCCAAGAUCAAGAGUCACCUGCCCCAUCAACUGAACCAGCCAGGUGCCCCUGUUUUUGUCAUUAUUCUUAUUGUCAUAAUUCUGAUGACUAUCUUGUUACAUUUAUAAUACUAAGAAGUUCGUGGGCCAAAUAUAGAAUGAUAACCAUAUUUUAUAAAGUUGCAGAAAGAACCCAGGACAAUGAUUUGAGUGUCUUUUUAUUUGAAUUAUGUCAGCAUAGAAAAAGACCACAAUAGAGUCUUCCUUGUUAUUGUGCACAUUAACAAAGAAUUCUUGCCAGAAUAAGACAUAUUGUGUUUGAUGACAUUCAAAUUUUCAUCAGCAAAAACAAAAACAAAAACAAUCAUGACCGUUUUAUAAAUGCAUACUCUAAGAAACAAUCACUAGAAACUUAUGAGAACCUAUAUCCAUCACCAAUAAUCCCCACGCCUUUCUUUGAAAUCCUCUGACCUCAAAAACAGCAUCCUAAAUUAGCAUCAUGCACAACCAACCACUAGUUUUCUAUGUGGGAAACUACCCAAGUGGCUGAGAUUGUACACUGUGGAGGUGUCGAGAUCUGGGCUCAAAUCCUAUCUCCUCCACUUACCUGUCUGUGGGGCAGGUUACUUAACCUGCGCUAGCCUCAGGUGUCUUAAUAGUAAAAAUGGGGCUAAAGGAGUAACUAAAGCUCAUAAAGUUGCUGCAGGGAUUAAAUAAGAUAAUGCACAUUAAGAGAUGAGAGAUUAACGUGUGUGUGAGUGUGUGUGUAUGUGUGUGUAGAAUGAGCACUGAAAAAAUAUUGAUUAUGUUGAUAAACACUAUCUUUUUAUCUGUAUUAGAAGUUUUUGUACUUUUUUGGAGAAACCUUUGUAUCUCACUUAAUUAUUUAUUUCAUGACAUUGUAGGGCUACUAAUCAAUGCCAGUGUUUCAGUCUCUCUGAUCCCUGGCCCUUGGAAUCUGAAGCAGAAAUAAAAGUACAUAUUAAGUACCCUGAGCAAGUUUGAUAUUUACAGUGUACCGACUCCUUUGUAAGGCGGACAGUCAUUUAUUUCCAUUCUGAAACUUCAAGUUGUUAGAUAUUGAAUUUUAUUAGAGUAGUUUUCAUAAGGCAGGGUUAACAGUUUGCAAAACUGAUAAAAGAGACAUUUUAAUCUUAUUGUUGUUUUAAUUUGCAUUUCUCUCAUCACUGGUAUGGUUGAGCAUCACUUGAAAUGUUUGAAUGAUCUGUUUCCAUGCUUUGCCCACUCUUUUAUUGGAUAGUUUGUCCUUUUAAUUAUUACUGUUUACAAAGAUUCUUUAUUUUUAUUGUUUGCUAGAAUUCUUUAUAUUUGUUGUCUAUAAGAAUUUUCUUUGUUUAUACUAUCCUUAUAUAAUCAUAUAUAUAGAGAGAGAGAGCCUACUUGAGAUUCUGUCUCCCCCUCUCUGCCCCUCCCCCGCUUGCUCUCUCUCUCUUUCUCAAAAUAAAUUAAAAACAAAAAACUUCAAAAAAGAAACAUCUUGGUAACUAUCCUUUUUAGUCAUUUGUCUAUGUGUGUGUGUGUGUGUGUGUGUGUGUGUGUAUAAUUUAUUUAAAAUGUAUAUUACAUGUUAUUUUAUAAUCUGAC